rnacentral:rRNA from 1 species
AAGGUGCUGCAUGGUUGUCGUCAGCUCGUGCCGUGAGGUGGUCGGGUUAACGUCCCAUAACGAGCGCCAACCCCUAUCAUUAGUUGCCAUCAGGUCAAGCGUGGGGACUCUAAUGAAACUGCCUACGCAAGUAGUGAGGAAGGUGGGGAUGACGUCAAAUCAGCACGGCCCUUACGUCCAGGGCUACACACGUGCUACAAUGGCCGGUACAGAGCGCAGCGAGGCCGCGAGGCGGAGCGAAUCGCUUAAAGCCGGUCCCAGUACGGAUUGGAGUCUGCAACCCGACUCCAUGAAGUUGGAAUCGCUAGUAAUCGCGCAUCAGCAUGGCGCGGUGAAUACGUUCCCGGGCCUU